UUCUUCUGGUUGGUUUCCUGCUUGAAGCUGCUGAUUCAUUUCACCUUCACUCAUCAGCUUGAUUCAGAUGAUUUUCAGCAUCUAAAGGUGUUUCUCUGCUAUGGAUCAGUGUGAGGACAGAGAGGAGGGAGUCCCUCCCUCUAAAAGCUCUCUGUGUGGGGAACAUGACAGCCAGACCAAAGCUCAGAGAACAAACCAGCAGCACAGACCAGACUCUGAUGAACUCA